rnacentral:rRNA from 1 species
GAUGAACGCUGGCGGCGUGCCUAAUACAUGCAAGUCGAGCGAACGGACGAGAAGCUUGCUUCUCUGAUGUUAGCGGCGGACGGGUGAGUAACACGUGGAUAACCUACCUAUAAGACUGGGAUAACUUCGGGAAACCGGAGCUAAUACCGGAUAAUAUUUUGAACCGCAUGGUUCAAAAGUAAAUGACGGUCUUGCUGUCACGUAUAGAUGCAUCCGCGCUGCAUUGGCUAGUUGGUAAGGUAACGGCUUACCAAGGCAACUAUGCAUAGACGACCUGAGAGAGUGAUCGGCCACGUGGGAACUGAGACACGGUCCAGACUCCUACGGUAGGCAGCAGUAGGGAAUCGUCCGCAUUGGGCGAAAGCCUUACGGAGCAACGCCGCGUGAGUGAUGAAGGUCUUCGGAUCGUAAAACUCUGUUAUGAGGGAAGAACAUAUGUGUAAGUAACUGUGCACAUCUUGACGGUACCGAAUCAGAAAGCCACGGCUAACUACGUG